rnacentral:rRNA from 1 species
UACAGAGGGUGCAAGCGUUAAUCGGAAUUACUGGGCGUAAAGCGUGCGUAGACGGUUAUUUAAGUCAGGUGUGAAAGCCCCGGGCUCAACCUGGGAAUUGCAUCUGAGACUGAAUAGCUAGGGUGCGGAAGAGGGAAGCGGAAUUUCCGGUGUAGCGGUGAAAUGCGUAGAUAUCGGAAGGAACACCAGUGGCGAAAGCGGCUUCCUGGUCCAGCACCGACGUUCAGGCACGAAAGCGUGGGGAGCAAACAGG